UACGGAGGGUGCAAGCGUUAUCCGGAUUCACUGGGUUUAAAGGGUGCGUAGGUGGGCAGGUAAGUCAGUGGUGAAAUCUCCGGGCUUAACCCGGAACUGCCUGUUAUACUAUCUGUCUUGAAUACGUGGAGGUGAGCGGAAUAUGUCAUGUAGCGGUGAAAUGCUUAGAUAUGACAUAGAACACCAAUUGCGAAGGCAGCUCACUACGCGAAUAUUGACACUGAGGCACGAAAGCGUGGGGAUCAAACAGG
rnacentral:rRNA from 1 species